AUCACACUGAAACACUGGUUCACAUAUGAUCACUGAAGUUAAGCAAUGUCGAGCCUGGUCAGUAUCUAGAUAGGUGACCACUUAAGAAUAUCAGGUGCU